GACGAACGUUGGCGGCGUGCUUAAUACAUGCAAGUCAACUGAAGUAGUGGUAGCAAUAUCGCUGUGGAGGUGGCGCACGGGUGAGUAACACGUAGGUAAUCUGCCUUCAGGUCUGGCAUAACUCCGGGAAACCGGGGCUAAUAGCAGAUGAUGCAGCGGCUCGACAUCGAGACAGUUGUUAAAGCUAUGGCGCCUGAAGAUGAGCCUGCGUCUGAUUAGCUAGUUGGCGGGGUAACGGCCCACCAAGGCAACGAUCAGUAGCUGGUCUGAGAGGAUGAUCAGCCACACUGGAACUGAGACACGGUCCAGACUCCUACGGGAGGCAGCAGUAAGGAAUAUUGCUCAAUGGGAGAAAUCCUGAAGCAGCAACGCCGCGUGAGGGACGAAGGGCUUUUGCUUGUAAACCUCUGUAGUGAGAGAAAAAAAUCCCAAUCUUUGGGACAUGAUGGUAUCUCAAAAGUAAGCCCCGGCUAACUACGU
rnacentral:rRNA from 1 species